AUGCAAGUCACCGAAGGAUCUUGUUAAAAUGCAGAUUCUGAUUAAUUUAGUCUGGCGGAGACUCUGAGAUUCUGUAUUUCUAACAAGCUCCCAGUGAUGUGAUG
rnacentral:pre_miRNA from 1 species